UUAACCACAUCUCCAUGCAGCACGAGCAGAACACGUGGUGAUUGGCGCAGAUGACGGGCUGCUUGACCUGCAGAAGCAAACCUGAGGAGCGCUUGAGGAGGGGAGAAGGGUGGGAGGAGAGUGGUCUUUUUGAAAGCUGCAUCGAUGCACUAAUGCACUGAAAUCUGAGCUCUUAUUGGAUCUGAAGGGCAGCCUGAGACAGCCAUCCUCCAGCAUCUACCUCUGUUUAAAGGGAUUGCUUUCAUUCAGAGAAGGAGAGGCGAAAAAGCCUUCCAGCAGAGCCCAGUCCGGCUCAGCUCGUCUCCCCGUCUGCCUCGUCUCUGCUGAGGCCAGCUGACCGGUCCCUUCAGGCUGAGCGGCCAACAGGCAGACCGGCGGCUCUCCUGUACCAGCGCCGGUGGACCGUGAUGCAGGCGGGAGCAGCCGACUGCCCAGUGGCCUCUGACAUUUGCUGUGGAGAAGAAGGGAUGUGCUCAGCCCUCUUGUUCUGCUGCGAUCGAGCUUCAGGGUCCUGACCUGCCUGUGAAAGGAAACAGUCGAGAGUGAGUGUCACAAAAAAAGAAGCCAGCUAAACAACAAAGCCAUCUUUUACUCUGAAGAAGAAAGCCACCUCAGUGAGAUGAAGCAGAUCGUGUCCGUAAACUAUAGAGCGGUGCCUGACGUGGAAUGGGAUACUCCUUUGAGAAGUCAUUUGUCACCAAUUCCCAAUGAGACCAGCACCUUUCCAUCAUUGCCACUUCAAGUUUCUACACAACGCCUUAAAGUCACGUGAUUUAAACCUAAACACUGCGGACUAAUUUAGUACAUCAUUUGAUCUAUUGUCAUCUGUUUAACAAAUCCUACAGAUCAAUAAAUUGCACACUUCCUUGAACUGUUUGAAGUUCAGAAAGAAGAAUUUUUGUUGUGUCUGGAAAACAUGAACAAACAGUUUUGAGAAAUGUCUUCUUAAAAGGCGAAUCCAAAUGUCAGAGAGACAGAUACACAGAGAGCGCUGCCUUCUGGGCGUCGAGCAGAAAAACUUCAGAAUAAUAUUUUGUCCCAGUUGGAGCGAACUGCAAUUACCCGUCAUCAAACAUUAGAAAGCAGAGUGUUUUCACUCUCAUAGCCCGGAGAGGAAGAUGGUCACUGUUUGCAAAAUCACACAAAGGAGACUCGGGGAAAAGCAAUGUAGGAAUGUUACUGAGAUCAGAUCAACUGAAUUUAUGUUGCUGUGAUUAGUCAGAUAAUAAAACCCACUGACAGCUUAUUUAUAAACAACUGUGUGUAAAGGAGUAGCUCCAAAUUCUGAGGCGUAAAUUCUUUCCAACACAAUGGUAAACAUAUAACACAAAGUGAGAUAUGAACUUUUUUUUAUUUUUAUCAUUGUGCAUUUUUUAGACAAAGAGUGGCUCAAAAGUAACAUGAAUAAAAUGAAACACUUCAUGCUAUUAUAUUUAUGUUUUUUUCUUUUUCUGAUUCAUGAGACGACAGAGGAAUGUAUACAACAUUGUAAUUAAAUGGAAGGGAAAGUAUUGAGGUUAUUAUUUAAGUUCAUUAAAAUACUGACACAUACAUUUUACUCCGCGCUUCUCUAGGAAGUUGACAUAAAGGCUGAACUUUAGCCGGUGCCGUAGCACAGAGCUGCGCCCUGCUUGACAGAUUUUUUUUUUAAAUGAAAGACGAAUUCACAAAUCCAAUAUUCUAUAAGCCCAUAUAAUUUUGAAGUGUUUUAAUUUAUUGGAUUUUUGUGUAUGCAACCAACAAACAAUUUGAAAGCACUCAUCUCAUAGCCCCACCUUUAAUUUAACCCUUGAUUGUAAGAACGUUAAACUCAACAGCAGUGAGCCUUAAAUGCACGUUGCAUACCUACUCGUUUGUUUUUGACAUUUUUCUUUUACUGUCUCAUGUUGUCACAUACAAGCCUGGUUAAUUACUGACUGUGUUCUUGGUAAACAUUUUUGAAAGGACAAAUAAAUUCAUUAUUUUAGAAAAACUCUCUAGAAAGAAAUUUGUGUACCUAGACAUUGAUGCUUCAACCUUGAGCUGUGAAACAAGUCUGAGUGUUUGUACCUGGUUUUAAAAUGUGAAUGUAAAAUGAAAUGUCUGAGUUUUGGUAAAUGACACUUCAGAAUAGAUAUCACUGCUGGUGUGACAAUGUUUCUGUUGGUUUAUUUAUUGGUUUUUAAUCUUUCUGUAUUCCCUGUAUUUAGGAGACACAUAUUUUUCUGGAUUUUUUUUUAAGUACUGGUCAGCAACGAAGACUCCAAGCUAAGUAAUCAAAUGUAAAAAGUUCUAAUGUUCACAGCUCUUUAUAUAACUAAGUCUGUGCACUAAUAUGGAAUAACAAAUGAGUUCAAUAUUGCAUCUGUGACAAUGUUUGUUUUUCCUAACUUGUGAAACAAUGAUCUCAUGAGGAUUUACAUCAAUUCACGGCUGUCUGUCUGUAGUUUCAAUUUAGUUUUUAUAAAUAACUUGUCAUAAUUCUUGAUGUUUGUCCUUUAUAAAAGUAAUGCAUUUUAUGAAAUAUAACACAUCUUUGAAUAAUUUGCCAUUUAAGGGGAUUUGCA